rnacentral:tRNA from 1 species
GGAUUGUGGCUCAGUGGCAGAGCACUUGCCUAGCAUGUGUGAGGCACUGGGUUCGAUUCUCAGCACCA